rnacentral:lncRNA from 1 species
UUCACAGUCAUCUUCCGUUAUCUGUGUCACCAUCAUCUCAUGUCUUCUCUGGCAGCACCUCUGCCCAUGCAGCUCCCUUGCCAGACAGCCUCCUUGGGUUGGAGGCAGCAGCGCAGCAGGCCUUGGUGGCUGCAGGGGUGGCAGGCCCCAUGCUUACUGUGGCUGUGUCAGUGAGACUUCAUUUUCAAGCCCCAGAUGUGUGUCCAAAGAACUUGCAUGUUCUCCUGAGCAUGUGCUACUGCUCUGUAUGGAGGUCAGCCACCAGCACCACUCUCCUGUGCAACGUGGAGAGCAGGGCAGAGACAGCGGGCCCAGACUCGAGCAGACAGCAAGUGAAAUCGAAGAGUGGUGGAAGACAGUGGUUUAAGCUGGAGCGGGGUUGUUGGGACUUCUGCCGUACAUCUUGACCCAUGAGAUGUUACUGCUGUGGAAAAAAGUGAGACCCUAAUUUGCAAGUGGAGCAAGCAGUUGCAAUCACCGUUUGAGUCAGUGGGAAGUAGAAGCAGCCUGCCAGACUGCGAUCAGGCAGAGAACGACUUCUGCAGAUUUAUUGGAAUUCAUUGGUGGAGCAGUGCUUGGCGUAGAGGAGUUAAUGUACUGCAGGUUCUGAGUGCCAUCCGCUAGAUGGGGCUCUUUCUUGGGGAGGAAGAGAGCUGUUAAAAUUAUUUUUGGUGGGAAGA